rnacentral:hammerhead_ribozyme from 1 species
AUCUAGCUGACGAGUACCACAUGGGACGAAACGCGCGUUCUGGAU